rnacentral:rRNA from 1 species
CCUACGGGAGGCAGCAGUAGGGAAUAUUGCACAAUGGGGGAAACCCUGAAGCAGCAACGCCGCGUGGAGGAUGAAGGUUUUCGGAUUGUAAACUCCUUUUGGUAGAGAAGAUAAUGACGGUAUCUAACGAAUAAGCACCGGCUAACUCCGUGCCAGCAGCCGCGGUAAUACGGAGGGUGCAAGCGUUACUCGGAAUCACUGGGCGUAAAGAGCGCGUAGGCGGGAUAGCAAGUCAGAUGUGAAAUCCUAUGGCUUAACCAUAGAACUGCAUUUGAAACUGUUAUUCUAGAGUAUGGGAGAGGUAGGUGGAAUUCGUGGUGUAGCGGUGAAAUGCGUAGAGAUCAAGAGGAAUACUCGUUGCGAAGGCGACCUGCUAGAACAUAACUGACGCUGAUGCGCGAAAGCGUGGGGAGCAAACAGGAUUAGAUACCCUUGUAGUC